GACGAGCGCUGGCGGCGUGCUUAACACAUGCAAGUCGAACGGAAAGGCCCUGCUUUUGUGGGGUGCUCGAGUGGCGAACGGGUGAGUAACACGUGAGUAACCUGCCCUUGACUUUGGGAUAACUUCAGGAAACUGGGGCUAAUACCGGAUAGGAGCUCCUGCUGCAUGGUGGGGGUUGGAAAGUUUCGGCGGUUGGGGAUGGACUCGCGGCUUAUCAGCUUGUUGGUGGGGUAGUGGCUUACCAAGGCUUUGACGGGUAGCCGGCCUGAGAGGGUGACCGGCCACAUUGGGACUGAGAUACGGCCCAGACUCCUACGGGAGGCAGCAGUGGGGAAUAUUGCACAAUGGGCGGAAGCCUGAUGCAGCAACGCCGCGUGCGGGAUGACGGCCUUCGGGUUGUAAACCGCUUUCGCCUGUGACGAAGCGUGAGUGACGGUAAUGGGGAAAGAAGCACCGGCUAACUACGUG
rnacentral:rRNA from 1 species